rnacentral:misc_RNA from 1 species
AGGAUUUGCAUCUUCUUUUUUUUUUUUUUUUUAUGGAAGAAGAGGGGUUCUUGAGGGUAAUGCUAGUCAAUCUUUGUGGCUGCCCCUUCGGCUAUAUGAGAGUGAGAAGCCAUCUAAGCUUUCCCUGUUCUUCUACUACUUUCCCUUUAGCCUCUAUGUGUUUGGCUUCCAUGGUCUUAUUGUUUGUUGUUGUUGAUUGAGUUUAAGUUCCGUUACUUAGGUUGUAAGGGUGUUGUUGUGCCUUGGGUUCUCGAGAAGGCUUAUAGCCAUGUGUAGCUCUAGUGUUAAGCUUCAGUUUCUUGCAACUCCCUCCUGGUGAAAGAUGGCUGGCGACGAGCAGCGACGGUUGUCACUCAUUUAUUCUAUUUGGUUUUGAAUUUAGACACAUAGCCCGACCCAG